GAAUAUUGGACAAUGGGCGCAAGCCUGAUCCAGCAAUGCCGCGUGUGUGAAGAAGGCCUGCGGGUUGUAAAGCACUUUCGACUGGGAAGAACGGGCUUGGGGUUAAUACCCUUGAGCAAUGACGGUACCAGCAGAAGAAGCACCGGCUAACUCCGUGCCAGCAGCCGCGGUAAUACGGAGGGUGCAAGCGUUAAUCGGAAUUACUGGGCGUAAAGCGCACGUAGGUGGUUUGGUAAGUCGGAUGUGAAAUCCCCGGGCUCAACCUGGGAAUGGCAUUCGAGACUGUCAAGCUAGAGUCUGGUAGAGGGUGGUGGAAUUCCAGGUGUAGCGGUGAAAUGCGUAGAUAUCUGGAGGAACAUCAGUGGCGAAGGCGGCCACCUGGACUGAGACUGACACUGAGGUGCGAAAGCGUGGGUAGCAAACAG
rnacentral:rRNA from 1 species